GAAAAAGCCCACCCCACAUCCCCCGAUCCCUAUCCCACCACCUCCCGCACCUCCCGCUCGCCGCCCCGUCCCCAACCAGCGGCGCCGGCGCCGCCGCCACCAAGCCCCCAACCGGAGACGCGGUGGCCGCCCCCGCUCCAACCGGAGACACCGCCGCUGCCCCGCCAUGCCUCAGUCGGAGACACCGCGGCCCCAACAUCCCGCCGCCACCGCCGUGGCCCCCAGCUUUCCCCGCCGUCAAUACGCCGUGGCCACCACGCGCCACCACGCGCCGCCGGAGACGGAGGAAGCUUCCUCGACCACAGCGCCAAAAAUCGUCCACCCCAUCCCCUAUCACUCCCUCCGGUGAGGUAAACGAUGAGAUCCCCCAUCCCCUCUGUACUCCUCCCCAAUCAUGCUUGUAUCUUCAAGAUCUGGGAUGUAGUUCUGGUGGCUUCUUCUCAUUCCAUGAACGGGGUUGCUCACUGGAACACACAAGCCGUGGUGGGCUGCAGUUCGGCGGGCACGUGCAAGUAGUUCGUCUUUCGCCCGGGGCGUCACCCUUUGCAUCGGCGACCACCGGAGCUGGCCUGAGGCGUGGUCCUGCUCGUCGUCCCUUGCUACAUCUUGGCUGGAGAGAGAUGGAGCUCCGCACAACGUGCGAAGUUCGACCGGUGAGCCUAUGCAGUCCGACAGCACGUAUUCGGCAGAUGGCACGCAGCUGCCGCGGUGAAGCCCCUACCUAUGGAGUUCAGUUUUGCCUACCGCUGCAUUCUCUAUUUCUUAACUGAACAUUUGUGAUAGACGUACGUGUGUGCUUGCUGCUGAUGUGUGUGUCGUGAAAUAGCAUUUUACCUAGCACCCAAACAUGCUUCGUACUUUGCUGUGUGUACAAAUUUGUGGUUGCUCGCUUCUUUCUGUGUUAUUUGAUUGUUGUACGUCUGUACUUCCUACCCGUGAUGCACCUGCAGCUAGAGGAGCGCUCGGCCUGCAGCAAGAGGGCACGACCUGCAGCUGCGUGGUCACAUCCAGCAAGAAGAUAGAGGCACCUGAGUGACGGAUCUGGCACGCGCCCCUCCGGCCAGGAGGCUGCCGAGCUGCUGGGUCGCCGGCCACCAGCAGCAGCAGGUCAUCUUUCCACACCUCCCCGUACAAAACGCUGACGACGCCAAGCUUCUCAGCCCCUCUGCCCUCCACCAGUGUUCCUUUGUAGAAAACGAGCUCUGGUCCCAGCAGAGGUUCAUGUAUUGUUGCUCACGAGGGUAGUUUAUCUAAGUUGAUGCAAAAAAAGUUUGUUUUGUAAUUCAUGGAAGUUUGAUGCCUAUUCUUUUGAGAAUGAAACUGUUUUCAUUUCAUGAAAGCCAAAAA